GAUGUUGUAACAACAUCCAUCAGUAGAUGUUGUAGCAGCAUCCAUCAGUAGAUGUUGUAGCAGCAUCCAUCAGUAGAUGCUUUCCUUCAUCAUCCUCAUCAUAACAAAAUCCAUCAAUAAAUGUCAUUAUCUGAGUCCUCCUAUCAUCCAUUAGUAGAUGUUAUCAUCACUGCCAUAAGAAGCAGCAUAUAACCUAAAAAAAAACUCAAACACACAAAGAAAAAUCAAAUCCAACCACACAAAUAAUUCAAUUAAAAAGAAAAAGUCAGAAACUGGGUUGCCUCCCAGUAAGUGCUCUUUUAACGUCAUUAAUUUGACCUGGUAAAGCUCAAACACCCAUCAGUAAGUGUUGACAUUCUCCUUGCUUGAUAUUCUUUUCUUUUUCUUCUUUCUGCUGAAUAAGAAAGUUGAUAAAACCAAGCACCUAUUUCCAUGUUUCAAUCAUAGGAACUUUAAUCUCCAAUUUCUUGAAGAUCUCCAUAAAGCCCUUAAAUUUCUUUUCCUUCUGAUGAUACUUCUUUGGAUGAGGAAUGGAUUUUUCAUAUGAUCUUUUCUUUCUUCCUCUCAUCCUAUUUUUCUUACUCUCCAUCUCUCUCAAGUUUCUUUUUUUUUUUCUCUUACUUUCUUCUUUAUUUUCACACACUUUUUCUUUUCUUCUUUUCUCUCAACCACUUCUUUUUCCUUCUCUUCAUCUCUAUCUUCCUCACUCAACCUUUCUGUCUCUAUCUCCUCUAUCUUUUCCUCAUCUCUCCCAAUCUUUUCCUCAUCUCUCUCAAUCUUUUCCUCCUUUAUCUUUUCCUCAUCUCUCUCUAUCUUUUCCUUAUCAAUAACCUCGUCACUUUAGUGAUAGUGACUUGACAUUCCUCCCUAGGGAUAACUUUAGUAUUAACCCUAGAAUCAUCCAGAGGCUCAAUUAUGCAACCCAAUUCUAUCUCCAUCCUUUUACGUAAUUAAUAACGUCAGUCACCUAGAUACAGCAAAAUCAGUGUCAGUGCUACCACUUAUUGUUUGUAUUGUUAAGGAGUGUCAC
rnacentral:lncRNA from 1 species